AUUGAACGCUGGCGGCAGGCCUAACACAUGCAAGUCGAACGGUAACAGGAAGCAGCUUGCUGCUUCGCUGACGAGUGGCGGACGGGUGAGUAAUGUCUGGGAAGCUGCCUGAUGGAGGGGGAUAACUACUGGAAACGGUAGCUAAUACCGCAUAAUGUCGCAAGACCAAAGAGGGGGACCUUCGGGCCUCUUGCCAUCGGAUGUGCCCAGAUGGGAUUAGCUUGUUGGUGGGGUAACGGCUCACCAAGGCGACGAUCCCUAGCUGGUCUGAGAGGAUGACCAGCCACACUGGAACUGAGACACGGUCCAGACGCCUACGGGAGGCAGCAGUGGGGAAUAUUGCACAAUGGGCGCAAGCCUGAUGCAGCCAUGCCGCGUGUAUGAAGAAGGCCUUCGGGUUGUAAAGUACUUUCAGCGGGGAGGAAGGGAGUAAAGUUAAUACCUUUGCUCAUUGACGUUACCCGCAGAAGAAGCACCGGCUAACUCCGU
rnacentral:rRNA from 1 species